rnacentral:rRNA from 1 species
UACGGAGGGUGCGAGCGUUAAUCGGAAUUACUGGGCGUAAAGCGUGCGUAGGCGGCCGGUCAAGUCAGGUGUGAAAGCCCCGGGCUCAACCUGGGAACGGCACUUGAAACUGGCAGGCUAGAGUUGGGUAGAGGGGAGCGGAAUUCCGGGUGUAGCGGUGAAAUGCGUAGAUAUCCGGAGGAACACCAGUGGCGAAGGCGGCUCCCUGGACCCAAACUGACGCUGAGGUACGAAAGCGUGGGUAGCAAACAGG